rnacentral:rRNA from 2 species
GGGCGUAAGCGCGCGCAGGCGGUCCUUUAAGUCUGAUGUGAAAGCCCACGGCUCAACCGUGGAGGGUCAUUGGAAACUGGGGGACUUGAGUGCAGAAGAGGAAAGCGGAAUUCCACGUGUAGCGGUGAAAUGCGUAGAGAUGUGGAGGAACACCAGUGGCGAAGGCGGCUUUCUGGUCUGUAACUGACGCUGAGGAGCGAAAGCGUGGGGAGCAAACAGGAUUACAUACCCUGGUAGCCCACGCCGUAAACGAUGAGUGCUAAGUGUUAGAGGGCUUCCUCCCUUUAGUGCUGCAGCUAACGCAUUAACCACUCCGCCUGGGGAGUACGGCCGCAAGGCUCAAAUUCAUUGGAAUUGA